GACAGAGGUCCCAAGCGUUAGGCGGAAUCACUGGGCUUAAAGCGUGUGUAGGCGGAUUUGUAAGUACCUUGUGAAAUCCCACGGCUCAACCGUGGAACUGCUCGGUAUACUGCUUAUCUUGGGCCAUCUAGGGGCGAGCGGAACAAACGGUGGAGCGGUGAAAUGCGUAGAUAUCGUUUGGAACGCCAAUGGUGAAAACAGCUCGCUGGGGAUGUGCCGACGCUGAGAUACGAAAGCCAGGGGAGCGAACGGG
rnacentral:rRNA from 1 species